AACCUUUCCUUCCUCUUCCUUCUUUUCUUCCUCAUCUUCGUCAUCAGAAAUCUCCUUCUCAGUGGUCUUCUCAAUCCAGAGUGAGAUUGGGUAGCUGAUGAACUCAGAGUGCUUCUUAACCAAAUCCUUGAGGCGGCGCUCUUCAAGGUACUCAAGCUGGUCCUCCUUGAGGUGAAGAGUAAUCUUUGUACCCCUGCCGAGAACCUCACCAGAGUUGUCUCUGGUGACUGUGAAUGAGCCUCCCGCUUGAGACUCCCA
rnacentral:lncRNA from 1 species